ACAGAUCGUUUCAGAGUUUGAUCCUGGCUCAGGAUGAACGCUAGCUACAGGCUUAACACAUGCAAGUCGAGGGGCAUCACAGUGUAGCAAUACACGGGUGGCGACCGGCGCACGGGUGCGUAACACGUAUCCAAUCUGCCCGUUACUCGGGGAUAGCCUUCUGAAAGGAAGAUUAAUACCCGAUGGCAUGCGUCUGCGGCAUCGCAGUUGCAUUAAAGAUUUAUCGGUAACGGAUGAGGAUGCGUACGAUUAGCUAGUUGGCGGGGUAACGGCCCACCAAGGCUACGAUCGUUAGGGGUUCUGAGAGGAAGGUCCCCCACACUGGAACUGAGACACGGUCCAG
rnacentral:rRNA from 1 species